CACGUAGGGCGCAAGCGUUGUCCGGAAUUAUUGGGCGUAAAGAGCUCGUAGGCGGUCUGUUACGUCUGCUGUGAAAACCCAGGGCUUAACCCUGGGCUUGCAGUGGAUACGGGCAGACUAGAGGCAGGUAGGGGAGAAUGGAAUUCCCGGUGUAGCGGUGAAAUGCGCAGAUAUCGGGAGGAACACCGGUGGCGAAGGCGGUUCUCUGGGCCUGUACUGACGCUGAGGAGCGAAAGCGUGGGGAGCAAACAGG
rnacentral:rRNA from 1 species